GCUAACGUAGCUUAAACUCAAAGCAUAACCCUGAAGAUGUUAAAAUGGGCCCUAGAAAGCCCCGUAAGCA
rnacentral:tRNA from 1 species